UCCCUGGUGGUUCAGUUGGUAAAGAGUCUGCCUGCAAUGCAGGAGACCUGGGUUCAAUCCCUGGCUCAGGAA
rfam:TPA: Bos taurus chromosome 16, whole genome shotgun sequence.